rnacentral:rRNA from 1 species
ACUUGCGUUAUGCCUGACUUUUCGGAAGGGUUGUAUUUAUUAGAUAGCAAACCAAUAGUUCUCGGACUGUUGUGAUGAUUCAUAAUAAUUGAUCUGAGCAGACCCUAGGUCUGCUAAAUCAUUCAAGUUUCUGCCCUAUCACUUUGAUGGUUGUGUAUUUGACAACCAUGAGAAUUACGGGUACGCGGAAUUAGGGUUUGAUUUGCGGAGAGGGAGCCUGAGAAACGGCUACCACUUCUAAGGAAGGCAGCAGGCGCGCAAAUUACCCAAUCCCGAUUCGGGGAGGUAGUGACAAGAAAUAAUAACUUGGGGCUCACGCUUUCGAGAUUAAAAUGAGAACAAUCUAAAAAACUUAACGAGGAACAAUUGGAGGGCAAGUUCUGGUGCCAGCAGCCGCGGUAAUUCCAGCUCCAAUAGCGUAUAUUAAAGUUGUUGCAGUUAAAAAGCUCGUAGUCGAUCUUCUAAGUGUCAGUAUCUUUGUCCUUUGGGCGAUUUAUUGGCACUUAUCUGACCGAGAACUUUGUUCGGCCUUCACUGGUCGGCGAUGCAAAUCGGUCAUUUUACUGAGAAAAAAUUAGAGUGUUCAAAGCAGGCUCAACGCCUUGAAUACACAAGCUUGGAAUAAUAGAAUAUGACUUGAGUCUUUUUUGUUGGUUAUGAGACUUAAGUAAUGGUUAAUAGAAACAGUUGGGGGCAUUAGUAUCUAAUUGUCAGAGGUGAAAUUCUUGGAUUUAUUAGAGACUAACUUAUGCGAAAGCAUUUGCCAAAGAUGUUUUCAAUUGAUCAAGAACGAAAGUUAGGGGAUCAAAGACGAUCAGAUACCGUCCUAGUCCUAACUAUAAACGAUUCCGACUAUGGAUUGGGUGGGUUCAAGAGCUCAUUCAGCACAUUAUGAGAAAUCAUAAGUCUUUAGGUUCCGGGGGAAGUAUGGAUGCAAAUCUGAAACUUAAAGGAAUUGACGGAAGGGCACACAAGGAGUGGAGACUGCGGCUUAAUUUGACCCAACACGGGAAAACUUACGCGUGCAAGACUUGGGUAGGAUUGACAGAAAUGAGAGCUCUUUCUUGAUUCUAAGGGUGGUGGUGCAUGGCCGUUCUUAGUUGGUGGAGUGAUUUGUCUGGUUAAUUCCGUUAACGAACGAGACCUUACCCUGCUAAAUAGGAGCUUAAUGAACAAUUGAGUAUUCUUCUUAGAGGGACUAUGUGUGCAAGCACAUGGAAGUUUGAGGCAAUAACAGGUCUGUGAUGCCCCUAGAUGUAUGCGGCCGCACGUGUUCUACAAUGACACUAGCAACAAGUUUGUCCUGCUCCGAUAGGAGUUCGGGUAAUCUUCAUAGUUAGUGUCGUGCUUAGGAUUGUCUUUUGUAAUUAUAGGACAUGAAUUAGGAAUUCCUAGUAUAGGCACGUCAUCAUCGUGCCUAGAUUAUGUCCCUGCCCUUUGUACACACCGCCCGUCGCUCCUACCGAUUGAGAGAUUCAGUAAACCUCCUAGAGCGGUUCGAAUCUUCAAGGUUCUUGCUGCAAAGUUAAGUAAACUAUUAUCCCUACGGAAGGAUCAC